CGCUGGCGGCGUGCCUAAUACAUGCAAGUCGAACGGUCUUUCUAUGGAAGCUUGCUUCCACUGAGAAGAUAGUGGCGAACGGGUGAGUAACACGUGGGUAACCUGCCCAUAAGAGGGGGGAUAACAUCCGGAAACGGGUGCUAAUACCGCAUAGUUUUCUUGAUCGCAUGAUUGAGAAAGGAAAGACGGCCUUUGUGCUGUCGCUUAUGGAUGGACCCGCGGCGUAUUAGUUAGUUGGUGAGGUAACGGCUCACCAAGACGAUGAUACGUAGCCGACCUGAGAGGGUGAUCGGCCACAUUGGGACUGAGACACGGCCCAAACUCCUACGGGAGGCAGCAGUAGGGAAUCUUCCGCAAUGGACGAAAGUCUGACGGAGCAACGCCGCGUGAGUGAAGAAAAGGUUUUCGGAUCGUAAAACUCUGUUGUCAGAGAAGAACAAGUUGGAGAGUAACUGCUCCAGCCUUGACGGUAUCUGACCAGAAAGCCACGGCUAACUACGUGCCAGCCGCAGC
rnacentral:rRNA from 1 species